rnacentral:tRNA from 2 species
GCGCCCGUGGCUCAAUUGGAUAGAGCGCUGGAUUACGGAUCCAGAGGUUGGAGGUUCGACUCCUCCCGGGCGCACCA